AAAUACAUCAUCACAAUGUACCACAGCCCCUAAAACCUAAUGGUGCUGUCAGAGCUCACUGCUGAACUUUGGUCCCCAGAAGGUGGGAGCUUCCCUCCUUGGAAGGAGCCCUUCCAAAAGCUGCCUCUGAGUUGCUAAGAAACAGCUUGUCACUGUGACAUGGGCUGUAGGCAGUUCUGUACAGCAGGCACUCAGAGAAUGGACAUGGGAAGUGCCAUGGAAAAUUGGAAAGAGACACUAAACAGCACAGAUGCAAGCUAUCUCCCAAUGUGUCAAUAUCUUAUUGGCAAGGAAGCAUGCAGCCCCAGAGCUGGAAUGGAGACCCCGUUUCCAGCCCCGGUAUCGUGUGAUUAUGUUACAGCAAAAAACCAUCUGAUCAAAUAACUCCUGAUUGAAAAGACAGGCUGUGACAGUCUGAUCUGAACACACCUUCAUUUCAGAAAUAACUAUCAGCUUCCACCUCCCUGCUGCUGGGUGAACUCUUUUGCUUGAGGUCUCUCUGCCACAGCCACAGCUUUGGCUUCUCUGUCAUUCUGGAAGCCUCAUGUUUGGAGCUGUCACGGAGUAAUUCGGUACCAGAAUCUGGUGGAUAUUUCUGCUUCUGGGCUUGUUAAGCCAUUUGUGCCUUGUCCAAAGAACUUCUAGAAUCCCUCACUUUUAAGCUCUUCAUCCAUCAUUGUGCAAAUGUUGGCAUUAUAAAACAGGGUCCAAGCAA